AGUGAACGCUGGCGGUAGGCCUAACACAUGCAAGUCGAACGGCAGCACAGGAGAGCUUGCUCUCUGGGUGGCGAGUGGCGGACGGGUGAGGAAUACAUCGGAAUCUACUCUGUCGUGGGGGAUAACGUAGGGAAACUUACGCUAAUACCGCAUACGACCUACGGGUGAAAGCAGGGGAUCUUCGGACCUUGCGCGAUUGAAUGAGCCGAUGUCGGAUUAGCUAGUUGGCGGGGUAAAGGCCCACCAAGGCGACGAUCCGUAGCUGGUCUGAGAGGAUGAUCAGCCACACUGGAACUGAGACACGGUCCAGUCCCCUACGGGAGGCAGCAGUGGGGAAUAUUGGACAAUGGGCGCAAGCCUGAUCCAGCCAUACCGCGUGGGUGAAGAAGGCCUUCGGGUUGUAAAGCCCUUUUGUUGGGAAAGAAAUCCAGCUGGCUAAUACCCGGUUGGGAUGACGGUACCCAAAGAAUAAGCACCGGCUAACUUCGUGCCAGCCGCCGCGGUAA
rnacentral:rRNA from 1 species